rnacentral:lncRNA from 1 species
AAUAAACGUCAGCGGGCAUGCUUUAAUUAAGCCUUCUUCCCAGUGAGAGCCUCGAAGAUGUAAUCACAGAGAGAGAGAGAGAGAGAGAGAGCGAGAGAGAGACAGAGAGAGGAGCAUCGGCUCACCAAGAAGGCCUGUCCUGGUCCCAGGGGCCACAGCGGGAUGGCCCCUACCAACCUGGCCCAGCCGACUUGUUGGAGGAGAAACCUGGACACAGACAUGCACAGAAGACCAUGUGACCAUGAAGGCAGAGAUCAG